CAAAAUUAACAUUAUUUAUUUUCCAAAACACAGAAAUGAAUGUUCCUGUUUAUGUAGAAAAGAAUUCAGCCCAUCCAUGGUUUGACCAUGCUUUGACUAAGAUUGUGAAUAUUAAUGCUCUAGUAUUGUUCACUCAAAAUCGAAACUUGUACAUGUAGCUCAUUUAUCCUGAAUGACCAGUAACAAUGUACGUUCAUUUUAAGCCUGUAGGGUGACUGGUGCCCUUAAAAGAAAAGACAAUUAAAGGUUAAUUUUUCUUUUUACAAACAUUUGAAAACUUGUUCGAAAAUAUUUCUUGUAAAAUAUGAUAAUACACAUGAAUCUCUGAGUUGAUGUGCUUAAAAACAUUUAGUAGAAAAACUGUAAAUUGAUUUCUGACAAGUUCACUUCCCCCAUAAGGGUUGUGCAUCAAAUGCAUUGCUUGUUUCUCACCCAAACCCAUAAUCCAUUGCGAACAUUGAAAAGGUUAAUUAUUUGCAUGAUUUUCCAUUUUUUUAAAUGCAGAAUAAAUGCUUUGAAAUUGUGUCCACAAUGAAGAUUUUAGGCCUAGGCCUACGUGUACUUUUCUGGAAAAACUUGUACGUGUACGUAGGCCUAUUAGGGGUUACUAGAAUUUAUCAACUUUAAAUAAAAAAUCUUCCUUUCCUUCCACUGUUCAGGAAUUUUAAUAAUUUUUGCCAUUUUGACACGGCCAUUUUGUUACUAGGGUGAUUUGCGCAAUCUUUACUGGUGAUGAACAUGUACACCUCCAGACACCAGCUGUUGGGGUGAUCUCUGAGAAUGUUAAUUGGCACACCACAGGUGCGUUCAAUUUGCCUCCAUGAGUUACUUGAGUUUCAAGACCAUUCCCAGGUCAGGGUUGCUCCCCGUAAGUGAAGCUAAGCCAAAUGUUACAGGUACAGUUGCUUGGAUUUGAAUGAAUCUCUUUUUAACAUAAGAGUAGCUCCCCUUUCAUGACGGUGAAAAUGCCAUAGACCAGUAGUUAAGCGUUCCCCUCCUUUACCUACGUCAUUAUAUUAGCAUACCUGCUGUUGAUUUAAGCCGUAGCUUCUUGCAUUAAUUUGGCCACAUGGUCUGGCUACACUCAAUGUACAUGAAGCAAAUCAGCAGAGACAAGUCAACUUACAUGUCGUGAAUUGUUUUUCGUAACUGGAGUGGUCAUCUGCUUGAGUUCUGUCUGCUAGAAUCAUUGAUUGAAGUCCGAAUGUACAUGUAUUCUCGGAAGUUCUAUUUGACCCUGUUGACACACUGUGUUGGUUAACUCUGAAAGAGCCAUGUUAUUUUGGACCGUGUACAUGUAACUUGUCACUGCCAGCACUCUCACUCGGCUGUCCCAUACUUCAUUUGUAAACAUUAGGUGUGGUCAAUCCAACAUAUUGUUUUGUUAUGAUGGUCAGUUGAAGUUCAAGACCACACACUGAAUGUGCGGGCCUACCUAGAUGUACAUUGAGCACGGCAGUGGAGAAGUAUAAAGUUUGGGCUGAUCUGUGAUUCCACAGCCCCCAAGCUCUUUUUUGGUUAAACUUCAGUCCUUGUUUUUCAAGUCUUACAGUGUAUUUAAUUUUUCAGUUUGGUCAUUUUUUUAAGGGUUGAUCAGUUUUUCUGGGGGGUUUUGAUACUUAAAUGUCCAUGUAGAAUUCUUGUGUUAGUCCCUAUUAAUUCCGUUCCCUGCAACUUUGCCUGUGAACAUUCUUCAGUUAGUUUGAGUUUCUUUUAUGCGAUAGCUUGCUAUUUUUCCAGGUCUGCCUUGUAAUCAAAUGUACCCUACUUGCCUGCGUUGCAUUGGCACACUUCAAUGCUGGACCCCACACCUGCAUACACACCUGGCAGCCGGCUGGCAAUCAGGUCAAAGAUGACUGGAUAAUGGCAACAUAAUACCCCAAGUUCAGCACUGCGGUCUUAUCUUAUAAAGGUUGACACGUAUAGAACACCAGAAGAGGGGAUUUUAAGGGUUGCCUUUUAGGCAAACACCAAUGUAAACCAUAGACCCUCCAUUGCUGUGGGGCCCUCAAAGCUUCUGGUGAGUACUUUGUGGUUUUUUGUUUUCCUCCAAGCUCACCCAUUCUAACCCACCUGCUAACCCUUGUGAUUGAUUUAAUCAUGUUAAUUGCAACUAGGCAGGUGUGGUGAUCUUAUGUCCUGUAUACAUAGACAAGCUGGAAAUACUUUUAAGCAGUAAGUGCAUGUGCAUGUAGUGGGGGGGUCAGUCUAUUUGAAAAAAAAAAUGAGGGCCAAAAAAAGAUGUUUCUUCACCACUUUUGGAGCCAACCUCUGACCAGAAAGCGGAGACCUAAAGUUUUCUCUUUAGGCCUUAACAUGCAUGUUUUGCAUCAUUGAAUAACCACAAGGCUAAUGUUGUCAGGAAACAGAAAUUGAAGAUUUUUGAUAAAACACGCAAGCCAGUGGGGGUCAUGGGAUGUUACUUAAGCCUAAUGACUUUCAAGUAUGGCAAAAAUCACAGGUGUUUCAUGAAGACUUUGUGUUCAUUUAACAUUGAAAUAAAGUUGACAGAAUGAUGGCAUUGAUUGGUUUCCCGUAGCAACCCUGGUUGGAAGAAUUUGCCGUGUGUUUCUUUGCCCAGAAACUAAAGAAGACAUGUGCAUGGAGCUCAUCCCAGGCUGAUAAUGCAGUCGGCCUGAGAACAAGGCUGUGUAGGAACCACCCCAGGGGCUGCAGAAUCAGCCGUGCACAGAAUACUGCAUGACUAGGAUCUGUCGACACUGGUCUCUUCAGGCUUGCGAGCUACAGUGCCUUGGACAUUUUUGAGGUGUCCAUUACCAGAAAUAGUUAGGAAUGAAAAUAAUAACAAAUAAGAUGUCCAGUCCAGUUUGCAACUCAGAGGAUAUGAUGUCCCAUAGGUCUACCUUGAUGGAGCCGAUCCAAUUCACCUCUCCAACAACCACCCUUCCCUUUUGUGACCACCAGGAUGUUAACCUCUGUGACAUCAAGGAGCUCCAUCCAAGUCAGUUCAAGUCAAGCCCCAGGCAAGCUUGUCUUUCCUUUAUUUCUGGCCCAAUAUUGUUUUAACUUGUGAAAAAAAGAGAUGAAUCUUGUAUUUUAUGACCUUCUUUGCUAAUCAGGACAGUGUGAAAGAGGACCAUUGCAUGGACAUCUCAGACUUGGAUUAUUUAUUUCCCUUUUAAAUUUUUGCUUUUAAUUUUUUUAAUGCGAGGUGGCAGCUUUGGCCAAAAACUAACCGCUUGUAGGUGCAUGGUCACUAAAACCAGUGAGAUUGGAUGCUAUACAUUUGAAUGGGCAGGGGAAGCCUUGCACUAGAUCACAUCUUUGUGGGAAUGGGUAGUUUCACGCUUGAGGGAGCACUACCAUUAUGUACAUGUGGGAAUUGGUAGUUUCACGCUUGAGAGAGCACUGCCAUUAUGUACAUGUGGGAUUUGGUAGUUUCACGCUUGAGAGAGCACUGCCAUUAUGUACAUGUGGGAUUUGGUAGUUUCACGCUUGAGGGAGCACUACCAUUAUGUACAUGUGGGAAUUGGUAGUUUCACGCUUGAGAGAGCACUGCCAUUAUGUGCAUGUGGGAAUUGGUAGUUUCACGCUUGAGAGAGCACCACCUUUCUUUUCCAUCUUCAUUGAUGCAACUGAAGUAGUGCUACAUGUAGUUCAUGUACCAAAAAAGUCUGGUCCGAGCCAAUUUGGCUCAUCAAGCAGGUGUUUAUCUCUGGUGUCCUUGGCAUGAAACGACUGGAUGCCAGUCCAUCGCAGGUUGUUUCCCCAGCUAAUGCUGGUAUGGUACCCUUUAAUACUCCUGGGUGGAGAGAUGCAAGCAGGGGUUAAGAGGCUUGCCAAGGGCCACAAUUUACCGCCAGGGAACCUCAGACCCUAUGAUUGGAAGCCACAAACCCUAACCACUUGGCCACAUGCCCCCCAGUUCAUGUACCAACCAUGUUCCUAAUUUGGGCAAUUCAGUGUCUUCUUGCUGGCUACAAACAAUGGUGACCCCUUCAGUUGGAAUGUCGGGCCAAACAACCUCCACUGCAUCUGUAUGCUAAAGUUUUGAGCCAUUUUCUUACAGUUCCGAUGAAUUAUCUGACAACGGAAAGUCUACAGGUGUGUCAUCACUUGCUGUACUGAGAUGGCCCACCCGGAGCUUACAUCACCAACAGUUUGCUAUGUACAUGUGUUGUCAACUUUACUUGGUCGUCAUGGUUUAAAUUUCCUAUCCAUUGUUUCUCUGCUGACUUAUGGCCAAAAUGUAGCUUAAGUUGAAACCUUGUAUCCUUGUCAUUU